AGUCGAACGAGAGUCUACUGAAAGAGUUUUCGGACAAUGGAUGUAGAGGAAAGUGGCGGACGGGUGAGUAACGCGUGAGGAACCUGCCUUGAAGAGGGGGACAACAGUUGGAAACGACUGCUAAUACCGCAUGACGCAUAGAGGUCGCAUGAUCUUUAUGCCAAAGAUUUAUCGCUUCAAGAUGGCCUCGCGUCUGAUUAGCUAGUUGGCGGGGUAACGGCCCACCAAGGCGACGAUCAGUAGCCGGACUGAGAGGUUGAACGGCCACAUUGGGACUGAGAUACGGCCCAGACUCCUACGGGAGGCAGCAGUGGGGAAUAUUGGGCAAUGGGCGCAAGCCUGACCCAGCAACGCCGCGUGAAGGAAGAAGGCUUUCGGGUUGUAAACUUCUUUUAAGAGGGAAGAGCAGAAGACGGUACCUCUAGAAUAAGCCACGGCUAACUACGUGCCAGCAGCCGCGGUAAUACGUAGGUGGCAAGCGUUGUCCGGAUUUACUGGGUGUAAAGGGCGUGCAGCCGGGUCUGCAAGUCAGAUGUGAAAUCCAUGGGCUCAACCCAUGAACUGCAUUUGAAACUGUAGAUCUUGAGUGUCGGAGGGGCAAUCGGAAUUCCUAGUGUAGCGGUGAA
rnacentral:rRNA from 1 species